rnacentral:rRNA from 1 species
AACGAACGCUGGCGGCAUGCUUAACACAUGCAAGUCGAACGAAAUACCUGACUUCGGUUGGGAUAUUUAGUGGCAGACGGGUGAGUAACGCGUGGGAAUCUACCUAGUAGUGGGGAAUAACUAUGGGAAACUAUAGCUAAUACCGCAUACGCCCUUAGGGGAAGGACUUCGGCCGCUAUCAGAGGAGCCCGCGUCAGAUUAGGUAGUUGGUAGGGUAAAGGGACCUACCAAGCCGAUGANCUGUAGCUGGUUUGUAGAGGAUGAUCAGCCACACUGGAAC